rnacentral:rRNA from 1 species
UACAGAGGGGGCAAGCGUUGUUCGGAAUUACUGGGCGUAAAGGGCGCGUAGGCGGCCCGCUAAGUCGAACGUGAAAUCCCUGGGCUCAACCCAGGAACUGCGUCCGAUACUGGCGGGCUUGAAUCCGGGAGAGGGUAGUGGAAUUCCCGGUGUAGUGGUGAAAUGCGUAGAUAUCGGGAGGAACACCAGUGGCGAAGGCGACUACCUGGCCUGUUCUUGACGCUGAGGCGCGAAAGCUAGGGGAGCAAACGGG